UUGUGAGUCCGCGCGGGUGGGUACCACUAC
rnacentral:sRNA from 1 species